GCACUGUGCAUUCCUUGCACAGGCACAUGUUGAGUUCUUACUGUAUUUUAGCCCCGGUGUUGGGGGUACAAGCAUUGUCCCCUCCCUCUUGAAGCUAACACUCCAGGAGGAAGAAGGGAGUGUGAUGAACAAAGAGCCAAAACUAUUCAUAACAGAUUGAGGUUGUUACACCGGUGUCUGCAUGUCUCAAAAUUCAGCAGCGUGAUUCACAAGGGCUUAAAUGUGCGAGCAACCCGUGUCCAUCGACAGAGGAAUGAUUAAACACAAUACGGUCCAUCCAGACAGUGGAUUAUUCAGCCUUGAAAAGAAUGAAGUUCUGAUACAUGCUACAACAUGGAUAAACCUUGAAAACAUGUAAAGUGAAAUAAGCCAGACAAAAAAAGGGCAAGUACUGUGUUAUUCCACUAAAAAUGGUUUAAAUGGUAAACUUUAUGUUAAUGCAAUUUACCACAAUUAGAAAAAAACAAGAACCUGCCAUGGCUCCCUCUUGCCUGCCUCACUGAAUCUAAACUCCUCAGCCCUCUGCUGCGCCGGCCUGG